rnacentral:sRNA from 1 species
AUUUUGAAUUUUAUAAAUAACCCAAGUAAACUUCAGCUAUAUAGGGUCAGUUUUAAACAUAUAUUGCCACAUUCUAAGUCAUAAGCAUUUCGACGAAAACUGGGAUUGUGGUUUUCUUCGAAAUCCUUUAAUGGGCAAAAAAAAAUACUUAAAAAUGAACAACAAAAUUCUUCCUGUGUUAAAAGGAAAUAAGGUUUCAGAAUGACUGCAGUUUGAGAUGUGAGGAUUCGGAUGGAGAGAUCACUGCUCCGUUGUAGAAAGAACACCCCUGACACACUGCAAGUUUUGCCUUUGGAGAACAUGUACGGGUUGGAAGGGUCCGACCUAACAUAAUCCAAGCUCUCACGGCAGUCCAGCUUCCUGGUGCCGUCAAUGUAGAUGGCAAUGUCGUGUGAGGACUUAGUGGCUUGUACCAGAAUCUACACGGAUACGAGUCGGCGUUAAAACAAGUGAAAUACGUGCAUUUUUGUUAUAGGGAGAGUAUGACAAGGCAGAAAUAUAGGGUAGGCACUGAACUGUGUUGAAAUGCAAUGCUGUAAACAAAACGUGCAUAACUGAAAUUUUAUACCUAUUGUUGAAUGACAAUUAGAUAUCUUGAGAGCGAAACGUCCCAGAUUAUAAGAGGACGAAUUGGCGUUACAUCGUGUUUUAAAGAGUAAUAGCUGAAUGGCCAGCAAUUCAAUAGACAUGCCUACGUCAGACUGCUGUAGGACACAACUACCAAAAGUCAAAGCUCUUGUAGAAAUGGUUGUAAUGGAUUUGAAAAUCAUAUACAGGCUCUUCGUUGAUUUGACAGAACAUCAGUAACGUGUAUGCCUCUCAUGGGGUAUUGGGAGGAUAACAUUAUCUUUUUAAAUAAUGGGGAACAGUGCAAAUGUGCAUGACUGGUACUAUAGUAUAGAGAAUAGGGUACAGUAUAAAAGAAGUAACAGUACCAGUAUGUUGUGAAGAAAUACAGAUAUAUGACUCUUUUCCCAAACUCUUAGCCAGAAAUUCAAAGACAAACGAAAUUAUAUGAUGAAAUAUGAACCGUGGAGAUUUGACGGAACAAGGUUAACGAUUUGCCAUGAUGCAACAAAACACUGACCUUUCAAAAAGAUGCAUGUUUACUUGGACAACCAGAGACAUAUCAAUCGCGUUAUCGUGACACGUGCAACUUUCUACGAAUUUGACAGAUAAAAGCGUCAAAAUAAAUAAAGUGAAAUAUUUAUCACAAUACAUGUAUACAACAAUCAAAUAUUGACUCAAUCGUAUAUCAACAUCAUGAUGUUGAUUAAGUUAUCAUUUACUUUUUGGGGGCAGACAUGAACAUUUUGAUGCCCUUUCUUAAUACAUAUACUUUUGAAAUAAUUCUAAAAAC